UUCUGAUACCUUGCUCAUAUAUGUUUUAAUAUAAUGAUCAUGAUCUUUUCUUUUCUUUAUUUUUCCUCUUCUUCUUCUUCUUUUUUCUAAAUCUUUUAUCUUUUAUCUUCACAAAUUCUUGCAACAUUUAUGCAUGGAGGAGCCAUAAUGGCAAACAUCGAGCCCAAUAGCUCACCAGUUGGGUUGACAUUAAUUAAUUAAAAAUAUUUUAGUAAUAAAGAAAUUUUAUAAAAAUUGAUGUAAUACGACAGAUUGAAAUCUAUCGUAAUAUAUAAAAUUAUUUCAAUAAUUUAUAAAAAUUCUUUUUAGCUGUAAUAUUUAUCUCAAAUAAUUGGGAGUAUGCAUAUUGUUCCAUCCCAAGCUUGGGCUACAACGAUUGGGACAUAAACCUAAUUAUACAGUACUAAAUUGGGCCAGCUUAAGGCCAUACUAGCUUUCCUUGAUUGAGUUGGAAGGGGUAUUUCAGCUCAUUAUUUUGAUAGCGUACGUAAUAUUCUGCAUAUAUAUAUAUAUAUGAAAGUCUUACAAAAAUUAAAGUGCCGAUCCGUUAGAAUGUACUCAAGAAAGAACAAAAUGAUGAAAACGAAAUCGGACGUCACAGCUAGCAACGAUGAAUAUCGAUAUUCUAUAGCCGAUCGAGCACGAAACCAGUGGAUGGGAACCCAACCCAUGAUAUUUUCCAUGAUGCAUGGAGAGGGCACACGAAACAUAAAGUAAAAAGAGACAUGGAUACUCUGAACAAGCACACCAUAACUUGCAGAAAGUAUCAUGCAGCAUACAAGUUGGUGAAAUACGAGAUACAACAGCUGAAAAGUAUAAAGCACUGACACGGGAAAGUAAAGCAACAGAAAAGCAUGUGAAGCAUGCAUUGACAGCUGAAUAGAAGGCACACAAUUGCAGAUAAAGUCAUGUGAAGCAGCAUUUUAGGUUGUCAUGAAAAGUAAUGUCUUGGAUUACUGGUAAAUUAGCAGAAAAUAAAAAGUUAACUUUAGGACUCAUUUCCCUUGUCUUUCUGUUUUUCUGUAAUCUAUAUAUAUGUGUGUAAUAGAUCAUUGUAUGUAGUUAGUUGAGUUAAUAAGAAUCCUUUUUCUCUACAUCAAGGCUUUAUUUCGA